CCUACGGGUGGCAGCAGUGAGGAAUAUUGGUCAAUGGACGAGAGUCUGAACCAGCCAAGUCGCGUGAAGGAUGACUGCCCUAUGGGUUGUAAACUUCUUUUGUAUGGGAAUAAAAUGUUCCACGUGUGUGCUUUUGUAUGUACCAUAUGAAUAAGGAUCGGCUAACUCCGUGCCAGCAGCCGCGGUAAUACGGAGGAUCCGAGCGUUAUCCGGAUUUAUUGGGUUUAAAGGGAGCGUAGGUGGAUUGUUAAGUCAGUUGUGAAAGUUUGCGGCUCAACCGUAAAAUUGCCGCUGAAACUGGCAGUCUUGAGUACAGUAGAGGUGGGCGGAAUGCGUGGUGUAGCAGUGAAAUGCUUAGAGAUCACGCAGAACUCCGAUUGCGAAGGCAGCUCACCGGACUGCAACUGACACUGAGGCUCGAAAGUGUGGGUAUCAAACAGGAUUAGAUACCCGAGUAGUC
rnacentral:rRNA from 1 species